GCGUUGUUCGGAAUUACUGGGCGUAAAGCGUACGUAUGCGGCCCUGUAAGUUAGAGGUGAAAGCCCGGAGCUCAACUUCGGAAUUGCCUUUAAGACUGCAGAGCUAGAAUCGUGGAGAGGUUAGUGGAAUUCCGAGUGUAGAGGUGAAAUUCGUAGAUAUUCGGAAGAACACCAGUGGCGAAGGCGACUAACUGGACAAGUAUUGACGCUGAGGUACGAAAGCGUG
rnacentral:rRNA from 1 species